UGAGGGCCACUAAUGAAGAAAAGUGAAGACUUCUUAAGUCUGCAGUUUGAAAUGAAGUAAACUGCAUACAGUCCAAGGAGUGGAAAUUCUGGAUGACUACUGUUCAUUACAUUUCUGUAUGCAGAAUUUAAAACAGUCAAGUGGUUGGAAAAUCAAUUCCAGCUGAAUUUAAGAGUUUGUCUAGCUGUAAAUCUGUGGUUUACUAUUAUUUUCUAUGUAUAAGACAACUGCUUGAUGUAAUGUAAAUGUACAAAAUGUGUAAAAGUUCUUAUAGAAGUGGUUGCAUGGUGUAUAGGCCUACAAAUAAAUAAAUAAAUCUAAGAAUCAUUUAUUUUGUGAAGAAGCAAAAAUGGUUGAAUCAGUUGUUCUUUUGUUGUCUAUGGUGGACGUCUGACAAACAUGCUCAAACUUCAGUGUGCAUUGAAAUCUAUUUGCUUUUGUAAUAAAACAAAUUUCAUCAGUGCAAUACAUUUUAAUUUACAACAAAAUAUCAGAGUUACUUUUUCGAAUAAGUA